rnacentral:rRNA from 1 species
AGCAGCCGCGGUAAUUCCAGCUCCAAUAGCGUAUAUUAAAGUUGCUGCAGUUAAAAAGCUCGUAGUUGAAUUUCGGGAUCAAUAUGUUGGUCGUGCCUCGGUACGUACUAGCUUAUUGGUUUCUCCCUUCUGACGAACCAUGAUGUCAUUUAUUUGGUGUUAUGGGAAAUCAGGACUGUUACUUUGAAAAAAUUAGAGUGUUUAAAGCAGGCUCACGCUUGAAUACAUUAGCAUGGAAUAAUGAAAUAGGACGUUUGAUUCUAUUUUGUUGGUUUCUAGGAUCGACGUAAUGAUUAAUAGGGAUAGUUGGGGGCAUUAGUAUUCAAUUGUCAGAGGUGAAAUUCUUGGAUUUAUUGAAGACUAACUACUGCGAAAGCAUUUGCCAAGGAUGUUUUCAUUAAUCAAGAACGAAAGUUAGGGGAUCGAAGACGAUCAGAUACCGUCGUAGUCUUAACCAUAAACUAUGCCGACUAGGGAUCGGAUGAUGUUAAUUUUUAAUGUCCCAUUCGGCGUAC